UACAGAGGGUGCGAGCGUUGUCCGGAAUCACUGGGCGUAAAGGGCGCGUAGGCGGCUUGACAAGCGUGCGGUGAAAGCUCGGGGCUCAACCCCGAGUCGGCCGUGCGAACUGUCAGGCUUGAGCACAGUAGAGGCAGAUGGAAUUCCGGGUGUAGCGGUGGAAUGCGUAGAGAUCCGGAAGAACACCGGUGGCGAAGGCGGUCUGCUGGGCUGUGGCUGACGCUGAUGCGCGACAGCGUGGGGAGCAAACAGG
rnacentral:rRNA from 2 species